rnacentral:rRNA from 1 species
UAGGGAAUCUUCGGCAAUGGACGAAAGUCUGACCGAGCAACGCCGCGUGAGUGAAGAAGGUUUUCGGAUCGUAAAACUCUGUUGUUAGAGAAGAACAAGGACGUUAGUAACUGAACGUCCCCUGACGGUAUCUAACCAGAAAGCCACGGCUAACUACGUGCCAGCAGCCGCGGUAAUACGUAGGUGGCAAGCGUUGUCCGGAUUUAUUGGGCGUAAAGCGAGCGCAGGCGGUUUCUUAAGUCUGAUGUGAAAGCCCCCGGCUCAACCGGGGAGGGUCAUUGGAAACUGGGAGACUUGAGUGCAGAAGAGGAGAAGGGAAUUCCAUGUGUAGCGGUGAAAUGCGUAGAUAUAUGGAGGAAAACCAGUGGCGAAGGCGGCUCUCUGGUCUGUAACUGACGCUGAGGCUCGAAAGCGUGGGGAGCAAACAGG